GAUCCAAAGACCCAGAACUAUCAUCAAUCCUUGUAGAUAAGUAACUUGCUCAAUUUCGCUUCUGUAACUGCUUUGUGCAAACCAGGUUUCUCAUUCCAAACGCAAAGAUGUAAUGGAUACCUUGUGAUAUUCUGCCUAUAUAAGCCUGAUGGUGCCAGCAUUUUGAGGUUGCGAGAUUUGGAGUGCUAUUGCCCCCUCGUAGCUGCCGGCUUUUGAGUAAAGGACUCUGUAAUUCGAUUUCUUGAUUGAGGUGUCCUUUGUGUGAUUCGUGGUUACACUGCAACAGCAGCACUGUUUCUAAAUUCGCUCAUUCCCUUGUUUAUCUGGGUACUAUCUGAGAGAGAAGAUUCGUUUAUUACUUGUAUUCUGGCUGUGUCUCUAGGAAAAGCAACCACUUGACUGUUGAAUUUUUAAGACUGUUUUUUUUUUUUUUCAUCUUUUCUGCCUGGAAAAACCUGUUGUCUCCUGAUGCAGCCUCCUGGGCAUGGAUGAACUGAGAGGCACAGUGAGAAAAUGAAAAUGUAAUACUAUUAUUCAUUCACCAUGGAAUGUGCUUCACCACCUUAAACAGAAAAGGUGGCUUUACUUACCUGAUUUUGAAAACUGGGUGACAUGGGCCCCUAAGUCACCUCCACCCCUUUUAUUUGCCUAUGAUUUUUCUGGACCCUCCUAAAAGAAAUGAAGUUUAAAAAAAAAAAAAAAAAAAAGGCCAGACAUUCUGAGGCCUGAUUUCCCCUCUGUGUGAGUACAGAACUUUAGUCCAGACCCUCCUGAGUUGUCUGGUUUUUUAAACAGGAAGACCACUACUUCCUUAGUGUUAAGACAUUCCCUGUUCUGUGAGGAAUUUUUAUUUGUAAGGGGUGCAUGCAUUCCUUCUCUGACCCUUCUCUGCACACAAGAAGCUGCUCUAAGGCUGUGCCCCAAGGUUGCAAUUUAACCAGCAGCCUAAAGAGCGUGCUGCUGCACCGGAGUGGACUUACCCUAAAGGCAUGGAGGCAGAGCGGGCCACGCUGUUGGCCAAAGAGGUGUCUGAUCACAGCAUCCUCGCUCCCUGAUGCCCUUCACACAACAGAAACAAACUCAACUAAGGUCAUAGGACCUAUGAUUACAGACUGACUAGGAGAGUGAAGAGUUCAUUCACAUUUAAAGAAAGAAGCAGCACAUAACGAGCUGCAUUUCAAUGGAAAUGUCCAGAGAAAAAAAAGAAAGAAAGAAAGCAGCUUCCUAGUUGUGUAACCUUGAAGAUUUGAAGAUUCAGGUAUUUGUGAGCAUCAGAUAACAUCUUUUAUCUAAGAAACAAAACAAAACAUAACAAAAAUACCCCACAUGAAAUUGCUUUGCAAAUGUUACAGAUUGUUGUUACUAUCAAUUCUUAUUAGUGACUUUAUUCACUUCAAAGGUACAUUAUUAAUGCUUUUGUUUUACUAUGUGUAAAUCUUUUAACUCUGAUUAUAUAUUUACUUAAUUGCUAUGAUUAGCAUGUGGAAGUCUAUAAUUCCUCUGUAUUGAAAUAUAUGGGAGCUUCCAGUCAAGAUAUCAAAAUUACAACUAAACUACAGAACCACCAUCAUUCAGAACCACCUGAAUGGAAGUCCUACAACUACAGAAUUAAAGAAGAGACCACAUUGAAAGUGGUAGGAGGCCAGAAAUACAGAAUGGGCUGGUCACACCUUCAAAUUAUAUGAAACGUUAAAGGGUCUUCUGUAUGAAGAAGAAAAAAGAUAAAAAAUAUGAACACUAAAAUGGCAAUACAUAUCAACAAUUGGAUCUA